CUCAGUUCCCUGUCCUGGGUGACGUUUGUGGGGUGGUUUGUGCUCAAGUGGAGGCGUCUCCCCCUUACCCUUGGGUGGUUUUCCACCGGAAAAUAUUGGUGGCUUGUGCGAGUCCUCAACAUCCUCACCUAGGAGGCGUCUGUGAGGAGGUUUGUGGUCAUGGGGUGGCUCCUUUCCCUCACCCUUAGGCGGUUUGUCACCUGGGAAUGGCUUCUUGGGUUCUUUACCAUUUGGCAAUUCAUGUCCAUGUGGAGGCUUCUCUCCCGUGCCCUUGGGUGGUUUACCACCGGAAAAUCUUGGUGGCUCGCGGGAGUCCUCAACAUCCUCACCUAGGAGGCGUCUGUGGGGAGGUUUGUGGUCAUGGGGUGGCUCCUUUCCCUCACCCUUAGGCGGUUUGUCACCUGGGAAUGGCUUCUUGGGUUCUUUACCAUUUGGCAAUUCAUGUCCUUGUGGAGGCUUCUCUCCCUUACCCUUGGGUGGUUUACCGCCUGUGGUUUUUG
rnacentral:lncRNA from 1 species